rnacentral:rRNA from 1 species
UACGAAGGGGGCUAGCGUUGUUCGGAAUCACUGGGCGUAAAGCGCACGUAGGCGGAUUGCUAAGUCAGGGGUGAAAUCCCGGAGCUCAACUCCGGAACUGCCUUUGAUACUGAGGAUCUUGAGUUCGAGAGAGGUGAGUGGAACUGCGAGUGUAAAGGUGAAAUUCGUAGAUAUUCGCAAGAACACCAGUGGCGAAGGCGGCUCACUGGCUCGAUACUGACGCUGAGGUGCGAAAGCGUGGGGAGCAAACAGG